CAGUAGCCGCGGGAAAACGUAGGGUGCAAGCGUUAAUCGGAAUUACUGGGCGUAAAGCGUGCGCAGGCGGUUAUAUAAGACAGAUGUGAAAUCCCCGGGCUCAACCUGGGAACUGCAUUUGUGACUGUAUAGCUAGAGUACGGCAGAGGGGGAUGGAAUUCCGCGUGUAGCAGUGAAAUGCGUAGAUAUGCGGAGGAACACCGAUGGCGAAGGCAAUCCCCUGGGCCUGUACUGACGCUCAUGCACGAAAGCGUGGGGAGCAAACAGGAUUAGAUACCCCAGUAGUCCCUGUCUCUUAUAA
rnacentral:rRNA from 1 species